CCUACGUGAGGCAGCAGUGAGGAAUAUUGGUCAAUGGGCGCGAGCCUGAACCAGCCAAGUAGCGUGAAGGAUGACUGCCCUACGGGUUGUAAACUUCUUUUAUAAAGGAAUAAAGUGAUGCACGUGUGCCUUUUUGUAUGUACCUUAUGAAUAAGGAUCGGCUAACUCCGUGCCAGCAGCCGCGGUAAUACGGAGGAUCCGAGCGUUAUCCGGAUUUAUUGGGUUUAAAGGGAGCGUAGGUGGGUUGUUAAGUCAGUUGUGAAAGUUUGCGGCUCAACCGUAAAAUUGCAAUUGAUACUGGCAGUCUUGAGUACAGUAGAGGUAGGCGGAAUUCGUGGUGUAGCGGUGAAAUGCUUAGAUAUCACGAAGAACUCCGAUUGCGAAGGCAGCUUACUAAACUGCCACUGACAUUGAGGCUCGAAAGUGUGGGCAUCAAACAGGAUUAGAUACCCUAGUAGUC
rnacentral:rRNA from 1 species